UGAGACAUAGUUUGGAAUGCCAGAUACUUUGAUGUACUGAGGAGAAGGCCGGAAAGCAGGUCUCACUGAAAAACAUCGUCGGGUGCAUCUGGUAGAUGACACUGGUGUUUGAAG